GAGAUUAUAAUAUAUAUGAUUAAGACGUAUAUAUGUGAUUUCUAACAAUGCGUGAAUUUUUGUUUAUAUCCAUUACAACAAUUAUUCAUAAUAGGAGGUACCGCAUAAUGACAGGUACAGUUAAAUGGUUCAACGCAGAAAAAGGUUUUGGUUUCAUCGCUAGAGAAGAUGGAGAUGAUGUAUUCGUACAUUUCUCAGCUAUCCAAGGUGACGGAUACAAAACUCUUGAAGAAGGUCAAAAAGUUAACUUUGAAAUUACUCAAGGUAACCGUGGCGCUCAAGCAGAAAACGUUACAAGAGCUUAAUUAGCGAACUAAAAGUCCAAGGGAUUAGUCCCUUGGACUUUUUU
rnacentral:sRNA from 1 species